rnacentral:rRNA from 1 species
AUGCCCACGCCGUUGUCGUCGCCAUCUCCAUCGCCACCACCGCCUCCUCGCAUGACAGCGGAGGAGGGGGCCCGUCUCAUGGCGCGUGUGCUGGAGGACUCCAUGCACACGCACGACGAGCGUCAAUGGAAGGGCCUCGAGGAGAUGACAGCCCUCUUCGCGGUCGGCGACGUCGCCAUCCCCGAGCUGGAGAUGGUGCCGAAGGAGGAGGUGGUGGAGGAGCCGCCGGUGGCCGCGUUCCACCCGGGCCUGGUGGGCCAGGGGUGGAGCUGGUCGUGCACUGCUGAGCAGAUGGCGGCCGCCGUGGGGGGCGUGAACUGGUGCCCCACGCCGCCGCGGUCGCCGGAGCGGGACGCCUCGCCUCGGGAGGAGGUGGUGCAGGCACCAGCCACCUUCCACCCCGCCGCCCCCGUGCACCCCGGACCGCCGGCCCACCUGUGGACGCCGCCGGACUACGUCGACCUCGUCAGCGACGACGACGACAUCGGCAGCCAGUGA